rnacentral:rRNA from 1 species
AGGCAGCAGUGGGGAAUUUUGGACAAUGGGCGAAAGCCUGAUCCAGCAAUGCCGCGUGUGGGAAGAAGGCCUUCGGGUUGUAAACCACUUUUGUACGGAACGAAACGGUCUGCUUUAAUACAGUGGGCUAAUGACGGUACCGUAAGAAUAAGCACCGGCUAACUACGUGCCAGCAGCCGCGGUAAUACGUAGGGUGCGAGCGUUAAUCGGAAUUACUGGGCGUAAAGCGUGCGCAGGCGGUUAUAUAAGACAGUUGUGAAAUCCCCGGGCUCAACCUGGGAAUUGCAUCUGUGACUGUAUAGCUAGAGUACGGUAGAGGGGGAUGGAAUUCCGCGUGUAGCAGUGAAAUGCGUAGAUAUGCGGAGGAACACCGAUGGCGAAGGCAAUCCCCUGGACCUGUACUGACGCUCAUGCACGAAAGCGUGGGGAGCAAACAGGAUUAGAUACCCUGGUAG